rnacentral:rRNA from 1 species
AUUGAACGCUGGCGGCAGGCCUAACACAUGCAAGUCGAACGAGUGGCGGACGGGUGAGUAAUGUCUGGGAAACUGCCCGAUGGAGGGGGAUAACUACUGGAAACGGUAGCUAAUACCGCAUACCAUCGGAUGUGCCCAGAUGGGAUUAGCUAGUAGGUGGGGUAACGGCUCACCUAGGCGACGAUCCCUAGCUGGUCUGAGAGGAUGACCAGCCACACUGGAACUGGUACACGGUCCUGACUCCUACGGGAGGCAGCAGUGGGGAAUAUUGCACAAUGGGCGCAAGCCUGAUGCAGCCAUGCCGCGUGUAUGAAGAAGGCCUUGGGGUUGUAAAGUACUUUCAGCGAGGAGGCGUUACCAACAGAAUAAGCACCGGCUAACUUCGUGCCAGCAGCCGCGGUAAUUC